UGUGACAGAGAUCUUCCCCUAGCGC
rnacentral:piRNA from 2 species